CAAAAUAGCAAAGAGGUUCACAACAUCC
rnacentral:sRNA from 1 species